rnacentral:rRNA from 1 species
UACGAACCGUCCUAACGUUGUUCGGAAUCACUGGGCUUAAAGGGCGCGUAGGCGGGCCAUCAAGUCCGGGGUGAAAUACUUCGGCUUAACCGGAGAAUUGCCUUGGAUACUGGUGGUCUAGAGGGAGGUAGGGGUCUGUGGAACUUCCGGUGGAGCGGUGAAAUGCGUUGAUAUCGGAAGGAACGCCGGUGGCGAAAGCGACGGACUGGACCUCUUCUGACGCUGAGGCGCGAAAGCCAGGGGAGCAAACGGG